rnacentral:tRNA from 1 species
GGGGGUUUAGCUCAGUGGUAGAGCACUUGUCUAGCAAGCACAAGGCCCUGGGUUCGGUCCCCAGCUCUG